UCAUUAAAUGCUCGGCCUGCCCUCCUUUUAAUGUGUUGGAUAAAGGCAAUUUAAGUAUCCUCACCUUCUUGCAUGACCCCCUGCCAAAAAUAAAAUAAAAUUAUCAGAUGUCAAAAUUAAGUAAAGGAAUUUAGUUUGUCCAACUCCUGAUGCUUUAAAUUUUGCUUGUCCUUUCUCUUCUAUUUCCCUCCUACAAGUUUGCCUAUACAUAAGAGUAUAUACACUCCAUAAUAAAGCAAAGAAGAGGUGAAAGACAAGUUGAUGAAUUUGUUGAGAGAUUGUUGAAUAUAUAUAGUUAUGGAAUUUCCUGAACUUUCCUUAGCUCCAUCUGUUGGUAAAAGCUACAAUUAUGAAUCUGAAGUAGUCAACCUUCCAAUGAAGAGAAAGCAAGAUAUGAUUCAAGCAAGUGUUGAUCUUCAACUUAAAGACCCUCUUCCUUUGGAUUGGGAACAAUGUCUUGAUCUUGAAGUAUAUAUACCCCUUAUUUUCUUUCUCCUAACUUUUCACUUCAAUUCUAUCUUCUUCUAUUAGUUAUAUAGUUUACGUUACGAGGGGAAUCUAGGCGUAACCGGUAAAGUUGCUGCCAUGUGAGUAGGAGGUCACGGAUUCAAAGCCGUGAAAACAACCUCUAGUAGAAAUGCAGGGUAAAAUUGCGUACAAUUAGAUCAUUGUGGUAUGGCCCUUUCUCAAACCCUGCACAUAAUGAGAGCUUAGCGCACCGGUCAGCCCUCUAAUAAAAUUUACGUGACAAUAUAAAGCUGAUUAGAGAAAGUUACUGCACUAUUUCUUAGGUCAAUUUAACUUGAUCGUAGAAAAACUAUCUGUGCACAGAACAUAAACUCAUUAGUUAAACCCUCCCUUUUUUUUGAAUUAUUAACUAAUGAUAUAUCUUUCAACCCCUACUUCCAACCGAGAGGUUGUGAGUUCGAGUCUCUCCAAGAACAAGGAGGGAAGUUCUUGGAGGGAAGGAUGCCGGGGGUCUAUUUGGAAACAGCCUCUCUACUCAAGGCUAGGGGUAAGGUCUGCGUACAUACUACCCUUCCCAGACCCCACUAAGUAGGAUUAUACUGGGUUGUUGUUGUUGUUGAUAUAUCUUUCAUGUGUUUAACUGCAGUCAGGGAGAAUGUAUUACCUAAAUAGGAAAACAUUGAGGAAGACAUGGGAUCGGCCAAAGGACCAAAAGCUAGACCUUGAAUUAAACAUGUCAAGUUUCAGCCAACAAGAAACAAUGGAAUAUGAUGAUAAGUACUAUAAUAACUCAAAGAAGCAGAACAAAAGCAACAACAGCAGCAGCAGUAUGAUAGCUUUGCCAUGUUCAAAUUGUCAUCUCUUAGUUAUAGUGUCACAGUCUUCUCCUUCUUGUCCUAACUGCAAGUUUGUUCAUUCUCUACUUUCUAAGAAACAUCCUUCUACCGCAAAAUGUUAUGACACCUUGAGCCUCUUGAACUGAACUUGUAUGUACUACUGCACUUGGCUCUGUUUGUAAAAUAGUUGUCACUGCAAAGGAGGUUAAGUACGAUGAUAUGUCAUGUAGUGUUUUUUUUUUUUCUUCUUUUUCUUGUGUACUUGAAAUCGUAAAUAACUAGUAAUGUUUCAGGUUUAAUUGUAGUGUAUGUAACACUCUUGAAAUCUUGAACUACUUUUAGUUACUCAUCAUAUAACCAUUUAAGGUUACUUAACUUACAACCAAACUGUACGGCACGCUCUUAAUUUAUUAAUCAACAAUGCGUGCAGUCAAAGUGAAAAAUUUUAGAACUAUGCUCUCAUCCGGUCCAUUUUAAUUGAUUUUUUACCUUUUUUUUUGGGGUCUAUAACAUUUAAAAGUUUUAAAUAUCAAGAAUGAAUUAUUAUUUUUUUCUAAAAGUUACUCUUGGAGUAAAGAGCUUAGGAUUAUUUGUUAUAUUUUCAAUGAACAAAUUAAAGUUAAUAUGAUUGAUUUUCUUGCUAAUUAAUGCUAAAAGUCUGAUUCUUUAAUGGGUAAAAACAAUCAAAAAAUCAAUUAAGAUGGACCGAAUAAAGUGGCGAAUAAAUUCAACAUGUCAAGAAACAUGUCAGGUUAAAAGUGAAAUCAGAUACGAGAGACACUAAUUAAUUGUCCGGUUUUUUCUUGUGUUUAUUCAACUAAUUGCACAUCAUAAAUCCUCAAUAAAAGAAUGCUUUGGUCUUUCACAUUAAUGGUACGUAACAGAGGAUACCUAUGAACGCUCUCUCCCUCUAUCAAAUAAGUAUAUACGAUAAUUAAACAGCAAAGGUGGUUUUAACAUGGGCUAUCACUACAAGAAAAAGAAGGAAAGAAAACACUAUAUGACAUAUCAUCGUACUUAAUCUCCAUGUUAAAUUUGUGGAAGUUUUAUUUACAUAUUGCACGGGUUAGAAACCUCCACAUUAAUGGUCCAUCAUUUAUACAUUUAGGCUUAUUUACCCUCGACUUAAUAUCCUCAAAAAAACGAGAAAAAGUGUUAGGGCUUUUUCAACAAUAUAACCCUCAGCUAGAAAACCUUCUAUUUGUACUUUAUUUCCUAUAAGAGACUUGAAAUGACCUAACAAUCUAUUACCAAAAUGAAAAGGUAUUAGAAUAAGUAUUUACUUCGAAUUACUAUUAUAAGAUCGAUUGAAAUUAUGUUGAGUAAGUAAUAUUUUACCUUUCAACAAAAUACAUCCACCGUAAUAUACCGGUCCACCUUGUAUUAUUUCAUCCACUAGAUGGACAAUUAAAUGAACUAUUACCGUAAAAAGAGAUGUAGGGAACAACAUCUCUAAAUGAAAAAGUAUGAGUACAGUCCGAUCAUGUAGCAUGUUUAUGUCCGAGAGGCUCAAGCUUUUUGAACAAAGUUGUCUAAAAGAGAAUGAAAGCUCUACCAAGACUGCAACAAUAUGAUUUGGAAGCACACUUCGAGUUGCUAUGGGCAACAAUUAUUCCAUAAUGAUAUGACAAUCAUGGUUUUUUAGUCCAAAUAUCCUCUUUUUAUCUAGAUCAACACAACGAUAGAUAUUACUUGAAUAACUAUCGACACCGAGAUAUUUUUUGAAGUUUUGAGAAAGUCGACUCUUUUAUUUGUUGGAAUUGCAAACGAAGCAAGUCGACAAUCUCAUUCUCAUCUGGCCAAAGAUCACACCUUAUACUCAGAUCUUGUAGAUCUUUUCGAUAUAUAACACGAUCCUUUGAUUUGUCGUUAUCAUGUAGCAAAGUAUAUAUAAUAUUAUUAAACACAUGCUUCUCAAUGUGCAUAAUGUCUAAAUUAUAGGCGCAACAAGUUGAAUUCCCAAUAUGGAAGAUUGAAGAAUAUGCUUUUUUUUUCUCCAUUGUUGAGUUGCACUUUCCUUGGUACCUUUUUGUCUAUUUCUUUUCCUUCUUUCAUUUAAUUCUACUGGUUUUCCAAAUGUAACAUCAAUUUCUUUCACUUGAUCAAAAUAUCUGACCCAGUUAACUUUCUUGGAGGGUUUCUCUCUUCCGUAUUGCCAAAAAUGAAGCCUCAUCAUUCUAAAUUUAUGAUUUCUUGCCAAAAACUGGCGAUGACCAAUAAAGCUCCCCUUUCUACUAUGACGAAGUCAGCGAGGUUUUAUGUCAAAAUUACAAGAUGGACAUGUAAAAUUGGUAUGUGUUCCAACCAGAUAAAAUUUCAAGUCCAAAAAAGUCGCUAACUGCCCACAUAAGAGCUGCUCGCAUUCUAAACAUUUCAUUCUUUGAUGAAUCAAGAGUUUCCACACCUUCACACCACAACUCAUUCAACUCCUUAAUAAGCGGUUGUAGGUAAAAAUUAUAUUAUUCCCCACCGUAAGUGGACCUGGAAUGAUCGUUGAGAGGAUAAAAUUUGGUUACUUCAUACAUAAUCAAGGUGGAAGAUUAUAUGGAACCAAAAUUACUGGCCAAAUGCUAUAAUUAGUACUCAUCAUCCCAAAAGCAUUGAAACCAUCACUAGCUAGGCCUAAUCGAACAUUUCUAGGACCAGAAGCAAAUUCAGGAAAAGUAGUAUCAAAUCUCUUCCAUGCCUCACCAUCUCUGGGAUGCAUCGUGAUUCCAUCUUUAUUACUAUCUUUCACAUGCCAUCUCAUAUACUCUGCAAUUUUAGAGCACAUGAAUAAUCUCUGCAACCUUGGUUUCAGUGGGAAGUAACGCAAAAUCAUUGCGGGCAUCUUUUGCUUCUUUUUCUUCUGUCCUCUAGUAGACAUGUGAUUUUUGUUGAUCUUCUUAGUCUAGAUUAGCAAUAUUUACAUGUUUCCUCAUUAGCAUCUCUGUAGUACAACAUGCAAUUGUUUGGACAAGCAUCUAUCUUGAUAUAAUCAAGACAAAGCUUUUUGAGGUAUUCUUGGCCUCAUAAAAAGAAUUAGGUAUCCUUGCAAAUCCAAAUACAUCCUUUAGUAAAUCUGGCAUCAUAGUCAUUCCCUUAUCACUUAGCCCAGACAAACACUUUAUGUGAUACAACUUUAACAAAAAUUCUAGCUUCGAGUACUUGGACCCUUCAUAUAAUUCUUCACUUCCAUCUCUAAGCAACUCAAAAAAAUCUUUGUUAUUUGAAGAAGGCAGAUCAUUCAACAUUUCUUCUUCUCCAACUACUUGUGACGGGCAUGCAUCAGUGCCCUCAUGCCUUAAACCCGGGAAUGCUUCAUUUAUCAACAAUUCUAUAGGAUUUUCAGGAGGCAGUGCAUCUAGGAUAACCUCAGUCCUUGUAGAGUUCUCCAACACUUCAGAUUCCCCAUGAAGAAUCCAAGUAACAUUGUUCACUUCCAUCUCUAAGCAACUCAAAAAAUUCUUUGUUAUUUAAAGAAGGCAGAUCAUUUAAUAUUUCUUCUUCUCCAACUACUUGUGACGGGCCUGCAUAAAUGUCCCCGUGCCUUAAACUCGAAAAUGCUUCAUUUAUCAACAAUUCCAUGGGAUUUUCAGGAGGCAGUUCAUCUAGGAUAAUAUCUGUAAUUCUAGAGUUCUCCAACACUUCUGGUUUUCCAUGAAGAAUCAUAGUGACAUAAUUUUGAGGGAAUAGCUUGCAAAUCAAAUGAUCGUACACUAUCUCUCUAGUCUGCCACUUCCCAAAAUCAUAUUUAGAACACGAAAAUUUUAUAAAUCUCCUAUAGAAGUAUUCUUAAAUGCAAAUUUUAGAAAUUGAUUCAAACCAAGUAAAUACUUUGUUGUAUUUAUAGGUAUUCCAAUCCAAGAUUUAUCUAUUGGAAAGUAUUGAUAUAUAACCUUUCAGAAGUGAUCCACCAAUAAUGAUUUCUCUUAGCAAGAGUGUUUACUGUAACUUAUAAUAUUUCCAUGAGAAAGGAUGAUUUAGUAACCUAUCAAUGCAAUAACAUUAUAAAAUUUUAUAAGAAUUGCGGCGUGAACAAGGCCGGGAACUUGUUACAUGCAUGUUUAAUUAGUACAACAGGCUCAAGCGAUUGCUAGUGUGUUUAAUUUAUUCUAUUGAUCUAGCUUUUUCAAAAUCUUAAACUAUAUAUUUAAAUGUUGUAGGUACUUCAAAAAAGGCAUUGUAAAAAUUAUAGAAAACUUAUUAUGAAAUGACAUCCUGAUAAGAACUCCAAUAACAAGAAAGCUGUUGAAGCUAAAUUCAAACAGCUAUCUUAAGCCUAUGAUGUAUGUUAAUCAUUUUCCUUAAAUCUUUGCCAGUAUACAUAUAACUUAUGCUUACUUAAUCCGAAGAUAUUCAUGCAUCAAGUCAUUACCUACAUCUCAAAUCUAAGUUUGAUUAGAUAAAAGAGAUUUGUAUAUCACAGAUUUGAUUCAUGUUUCUUGUCUCUUUACUUAUGUUUGAUAACUCCUAAUACGGCAAGGGAAGUACUAUUUCAAUAAGAUUCCUUAUCUUAGACACAUCUAUUCAAACAACACAUAGCUCGCAUAUUUCCUGGAAUAUGAAGCAUAUAUAGUCAUUUGGUCAUAUAUAUAUAUAUAUACACGUUUUAAUUACAGAUCGCAACUCCAGAAAAAUAGUUUCAAACACAUAAAGUACAUUUACGACAAAACCAAUUUGAAUCUGGAAAGGAAAAAAAUAAUAUUCAAUACUAUAAAGAAAACUAAAGACCUGUUUACACUUUAGUUGUGCUCUUUGAACAGUCCUAAGACAGUACCAUGAAACUGAUUCAAACACAACAUAUAGUAGAAAGAGGAAAACCAGCCAAUGACAAUUGCAUUUUCUCUGAAGGUCCCAAGAAUUCUAAAAUACACAUGCAAAAGGAAAUAUUUUAAUUAAGACCCAAAUCACUGAAAUUAACAUACAAAAUACACAAAAAGUCUAAAUUUAGAACCUAUAAUACCUAAAGAGUUGUAGUUUAGGCUAUAGCCGUUAUGCUUUUAAUAGUACACAAUUCCUCUAACGUUGUACACUAAUAUGUUGGGCUCACAUGCAGAGUAUGGCUAAAUCAUAAAGAUGAUAAAACUAAGCCUGCAUGCUCUAAUUAUUCAAAAUAAAUAUGAGCAAUAAAGAACUCCCAAACUAUGCUUAAGCUUUUGCAAAUUCAUAGAGACAACUAGGCUUCAACAAACACAAUGUAUAUACAGUUUUGAUUGGCCUUACAGUAUAUAGACUGUAAGGAACACAAAUUUAAUUUGAUUUGAAAAUUAUUAGCUAUCAAUAAAAUAUACCGAUUCUAUUAAAUUUCUGCUACUUUCUAUUGAGAAUCGAAAAAAUAUCAAGAUGAAAGAAAGAGAAAAUCAAUAAAGGGAAAACACAGAUUAACAGAAAAAAUAAACUUAAUACCCACAUGCACGAAGAAAGAAAGACAAAAAAGCAAAAUCAAAUAAUUGAUAGACAUGAAUUUGUAUGAAAGAGCAAAACUAAAUUAACUUACAUCCAGUUGAUUGAUAAGAUGAGGAAUUGAAGAAAAGCAGAGAGCUUGAUAUGGAGAAGAAAUGGAAUCGGAGCUUGAUUAACCAAAACCAACAAUGGAAUCCAAUUAAUAAUUUUUUGGUUUAAUUUGGUGGAUGAGGUCUAUUACGACACAAAACUAGCAGAGAGUGACACAAUUUAAUUUGGUUAAAGGAUUUGGUUAGAGUGGGCGACGGUUUCUGAAAAUGAGAGAGGGGUUUGGGAAAAAAGAGAUGGAAAGGAUUGAAGAAUAGGAAAAUAUUGGGGUUAGUGGGUGCUAUUUUUUUAGAGGUUUGCGGAGGUUAUAGACACAUAAUAUAUUUUGAGGUUAAAUAAACCCCCUCAAUUUGAUAUAAAUUACGGAGGUUAUGGUAACUCCUGCAAUAAAAC
rnacentral:lncRNA from 1 species